rnacentral:rRNA from 1 species
UACGUAGGUGGCAAGCGUUGUCCGGAUUUACUGGGCGUAAAGAGCGCGCAGGCGGUCGUCCAAGUCGCGUGUGAAAGCCCCCGGCUCAACUGGGGAGGGUCACGCGAUACUGGUCGACUCGAAGGCAGGAGAGGGUAGUGGAAUUCCCGGUGUAGUGGUGAAAUGCGUAGAUAUCAGGAGGAACACCGAUGGCGAAGGCAGGUCUCUGGGCAUUAACUGACGCUGAGGAGCGAAAGCAUGGGGAGCGAACAGG